rnacentral:rRNA from 1 species
CACUGGCGGCGGCUUACACAUGCAAGUCGAACGCACCGCAAGGUGAGUGGCAGACGGGUGAGUAACGCGUGGGAACGUGCCCUUCAGUUCGGAAUAACCCAGGGAAACUUGGGCUAAUACCGGAUACGUGCGAGAGCAGAAAGAUUUAUCGCUGAAGGAUCGGCCCGCGUCUGAUUAGCUGGUUGGUAGGGUAAUGGCCUACCAAGGCGACGAUCAGUAGCUGGUCUGAGAGGAUGAUCAGCCACAUUGGGACUGAGACACGGCCCAAACUCCUACGGGAGGCAGCAGUGGGGAAUAUUGGACAAUGGGCGCAAGCCUGAUCCAGCCAUGCCGCGUGAGUGAUGAAGGCCUUAGGGUUGUAAAGCUCUUUCGUCCGGGACGAUAAUGACGGUACCGGAAGAAGAAGCCCCGGCUAACUUCGUGCCAGCAGCCGCGGUAAUACGAAGGGGGCUAGCGUUGUUCGGAAUCACUGGGCGUAAAGGGCGCGUAGGCGGCUUUGUAAGUCGGGGGUGAAAGCCUGUGGCUCAACCACAGAAUUGCCUUCGAUACUGCAUGGCUUGAGACCGGAAGAGGUAAGUGGAACUGCGAGUGUAGAGGUGAAAUUCG